GCCUUCGUUAGGCCCAGAGAUGGCUCUUCCCCCAAGAGGCAGGACAAUCUUUAACCUCCACCUCUGCCUCUAGACUCUGGGGAGGUCCGGGAAGGCAGAAAGAGACCUCUCACGCCCCACUUGCCUGGAGAUACCAACCACAUGCCCCUGGAGCUCCCUGCCUGGUACCCAGGGGUGCCCUGGCCUUGACUCGACUUGUACAGUUCGCACAACGACCCGGUUAAGAUCCCCAUGGACAGGGGAGGAAGGCAAGGCACAGAGAGGCUAAGUCACUUGCUCAAGGUA
rnacentral:lncRNA from 1 species